rnacentral:rRNA from 1 species
AAUGAACGCUGGCGGCAUGCCUAACACAUGCAAGUCGAGCGAACACAUGAGGUGCUUUCUCCUAUGGCUUUAGCGGCGGACGGGUGAGUAACAUGUGUAUAACCUACCUCUAAGACUGGGGUAACUUCGUCAAACGAUAGCUUAUAACCGAAAAUAUAUUGAACCGCAUGGUUCAAGAGUGAAAGACGGUAUUGCUUACGCUUAUAGAUUGAUCCGCGCCGCAUUAGCUAGUUGGUAAGGUAACGGCUUAACAAGGCAACGAUGCGUAGCCGAUCUGAGAGGGAGAUCAGCCACACUGGAACUGAGACACGGCCCAGACUCCUACGGGAGGCAGCAGUGGGGAAUCUUGCGCAAUGGGCGAAAGCCUGAUGGAGCAAUGCCGCGUGAGUGAUGAAGGUCUUCGGAUGGUAAAGCACUGUUGUCCGGAAAGAAAUAAUGCGUAUUUAUACCUGCGGGUCAUGACGGUACCGAAAGAAUAAGCCCCGGCUAACUACGUG